CCUACGGGUGGCUGCAGUGAGGAAUAUUGGUCAAUGGCCGCAAGGCUGAACCAGCCAAGUCGCGUGAGGGAUGACGGUCCUCUGGAUUGUAAACCUCUUUUGUCAGGGAGCAAAGGGCGCCACGUGUGGCGUUUUGCGAGUACCUGAAGAAAAAGCAUCGGCUAACUCUGUGACAGCAGCCGCGGUAAUACGGAGGAUGCGAGCGUUAUCCGGAUUCAUUGGGUUUAAAGGGAGCGUAGGUGGAUUGUUAAGGCAGUUGUGAAAGUUUGCGGCUUAACCGUAAGAUUGCAGUUGAAACUGGCAGUCUUGAGUACAGGAGAGGUGGGCGGAAUUCGUGGUGUAGCGGUGAAAUGCUUAGAUAGCACGAAGAACUCCGAUUGCGAAGGCAGUUCACUGGACUGCAACUGACACUGAGGCUCGAAAGCGUGGGUAUCAAACAGGAUUAGAUACCCGGGUAGUC
rnacentral:rRNA from 1 species